rnacentral:rRNA from 1 species
CCUACGGGGGGCAGCAGUGAGGAAUAUUGGUCAAUGGACGAGAGUCUGAACCAGCCAAGUAGCGUGAAGGAUGACUGCCCUAUGGGUUGUAAACUUCUUUUAUAUGGGAAUAAAAUGUUCCACGUGUGGGAUUUUGUAUGUACCAUAUGAAUAAGGAUCGGCUAACUCCGUGCCAGCAGCCGCGGUAAUACGGAGGAUCCGAGCGUUAUCCGAAUUUAUUGGGUUUAAAGGGAGCGUAGGUGGAUUGUUAAGUCAGUUGUGAAAGUUUGCGGCUCAACCGUAAAAUUGCAGUUGAAAAUGGCAGUCUUGAGUACAGUAGAGGUGGGCGGAAUUCGUGGUGUAGCGGUGAAAUGCUUAGAUAUCACGAAGAACUCCGAUUGCGAAGGCAGUUCACUGGACUGCAACUGACACUGAGGCUCGAAAGUGUGGGUAUCAAACAGGAUUAGAUACCCGAGUGGUC